rnacentral:rRNA from 1 species
GUGUCAGCCGCCGCGGUAACACGGGGGGAGCAAGCGUUGUUCGGAAUCACUGGGCGUAAAGGGCGUCUAGGCGGUUCGGUAAGUGGGAUGUGAAAUCCCUCGGCUCACCCGAGGACCUGCAUCCCAAACUGCCGAGCUUGAGUAUGGGAGAGGAUGAGGGAAUUCCUGGUGUAGCGGUGAAAUGCGUAGAUAUCAGGAGGAACACCGGUGGCGAAGGCGCUCAUCUGGCCCAAUACUGACGCUGAAGCGCGAAAGCUAGGGGAGCAAACGGGAUUAGAUACCCCUGUAGUCC